rnacentral:rRNA from 1 species
UACGGGAAGGCAGCAGUGGGGAAUAUUGCACAAUGGGCGAAAGCCUGAUGCAGCUAUGCCGCGUGUAUGAAGAAGGCCUUAGGGUUGUAAAGUACUUUCAUCGGGGAGGAAAAACAAAACUAAUAAUUUUAUUUCUUGACGUUACCCGAAAAAGAAGCACCGGCUAACUCCGUGCCAGCAGCCGCGGUAAUACGGAGGGUGCUAGCGUUAAUCAGAAUUACUGGGCGUAAAGAGCACGUAGGUGGUUUUUUUAAAGUCAGAUGUGAAAUCCCUGGGCUUAACCUAGGAACUGCAUUUUGAAACUGAAAUACUAGAGUAUCGUAGAGGGAGGUAGAAUUCUAGGUGUAGCGGUGAAAUGCGUAGAUAUCUGGAGGAAUACCUGUGGCGAAAGCGGCCUCCUAAACGAAUACUGACACUGAGGUGCGAAAGCGUGGGGAGCAAACAGGGAUUAGAUACC